rnacentral:pre_miRNA from 1 species
CUUCUUUGCCCAUUUUGGCACUAGCACAUUUUUGCUUUGUUUCUCUUUGUUGGAGCAAUCAUGUGUAGUGCCAAUAUGGGACGAGACAGA